rnacentral:rRNA from 1 species
CAGCCGCCGCGGUAAUACGUAGGGGGCAAGCGUUGUCCGGAAUCAUUGGGCGUAAAGCGCGUGUAGGCGGCUCGAUAAGUCUGCUGUGAAAGUCCAGGGCUCAACCCUGGAAUGCCGGUGGAAACUGUCGAGCUCGAGUCCGGAAGAGGCAAGUGGAAUUCCUGGUGUAGCGGUGAAAUGCGCAGAUAUCAGGAGGAACACCAAUGGCGAAGGCAGCUUGCUGGGACGGUACUGACGCUGAGACGCGAAAGCGUGGGGAGCAAACAGGAUUAGAUACCCGCGUAGUCCCUGUCUCUUAUAC